AGAUUGAACGCUGGCGGCAGGCCUAACACAUGCAAGUCGAGCGGCAGCACGGGUACUUGUACCUGGUGGCGAGCGGCGGACGGGUGAGUAAUGCCUAGGAAUCUGCCUGGUAGUGGGGGAUAACGCUCGGAAACGGACGCUAAUACCGCAUACGUCCUACGGGAGAAAGCAGGGGACCUUCGGGCCUUGCGCUAUCAGAUGAGCCUAGGUCGAUUAGCUAGUUGGUGAGGUAAUGGCUCACCAAGGCGACGAUCCGUAACUGGUCUGAGAGGAUGAUCAGUCACACUGGAACUGAGACACGGUCCAGACUCUACGGGAGCAGCAGUGGGAAUAUUGGACAAUGGGCGAAAGCCUGAUCCAGCCAUGCCGCGUGUGUGAAGAAGGUCUUCGGAUUGUAAAGCAACUUUAAGUUGGAGGAAGGCAAGUAAAUUAAUACUUUGCUUGUUUGACGUUACGACAGAAUAAGCACCGCUAACUCUGU
rnacentral:rRNA from 1 species